rnacentral:rRNA from 1 species
CCUACGGGCGGCAGCAGUGAGGAAUAUUGGUCAAUGGGCGAGAGCCUGAACCAGCCAAGUCGCGUGAGGGAAGACGGUCCUACGGAUUGUAAACCUCUUUUGUCAGGGAGCAAGGAGCGCCACGUGUGGCUCGGCGAGAGUACCUGAAGAAAAAGCAUCGGCUAACUCCGUGCCAGCAGCCACGGUACUACGGAGGAUGCGAGCGUUAUCCGGAUUUAUUGGGGUUAAAGGGUGCGCAAGCGGAAGCGGCAAGCAAGCGGUAAAAUUGCGGGGAUCAACCCCGCCUAGCCGUUGAAACUGCUCUUCUAGAGUGGGCGAGAAGUAUGCGGAAUGCGUGGUGUAGCGGUGAAAUGCAGAGAUAUCACGCAGAACUCCGAUUGCGAAGGCAGCAUACCGGCGCCCAACUGACGCUCAUGCACGAAAGCGUGGGUAUCGAACAGGAUUAGAUACCCCUGUAGUC